rnacentral:rRNA from 1 species
AACGAACGCUGGCGGCAUGCCUAACACAUGCAAGUCGAACGAGACCUUCGGGUCUAGUGGCGCACGGGUGCGUAACGCGUGGGAAUCUGCCCUUGGGUUCGGAAUAACAGUUGGAAACGACUGCUAAUACCGGAUGAUGACGUAAGUCCAAAGAUUUAUCGCCCAAGGAUGAGCCCGCGUAGGAUUAGCUAGUUGGUGAGGUAAAGGCUCACCAAGGCGACGAUCCUUAGCUGGUCUGAGAGGAUGAUCAGCCACACUGGGACUGAGACACGGCCCAGAAUCCUACGGGAGGCAGCAGUGGGGAAUAUUGGACAAUGGGCGAAAGCCUGAUCCAGCAAUGCCGCGUGAGUGAUGAAGGCCUUAGGGUUGUAAAGCUCUUUUACCCGGGAUGAUAAUGACAGUACCGGGAGAAUAAGCUCCGGCUAACUCCGUG